rnacentral:lncRNA from 1 species
CCCAAAAGAGGGAGAGUAACAAAGGCACAUGAUGAAUAAGACAUAGAACAAGUACUUUAUAAUACAACUAAAAUAAACAAUAACAAAAAUAAUCGAAAUGUUUACAACUGAAUGAUAAGAACAGAAUUCAGUGACUUAAUUCAUAAGAACUAGUACAUUUGGCUAAGAGGCUAAUUUCUAAGCUUUAUCAGAACAUAAGUCAGUUUUUUAAAACUGCUAAUUAGAUACCUCACAUUUCACCUGAUUACUGUUCUAUGGAACCAAACAGUCAAGUUUGGGUCAAACUUCAUUUCAAUGCCUUCCUCCCAUUUUCCUACACAGAAUUUUCCUUUGGACGCAACCCAAUUCUGCCAUUGUCCUAACCUCAACCUGUGGAUGCUAAUGAACUCCCAGCCUCUGGAUCUUCUCAAGGAAAGAGAUAUAGCCUCUACCCACCUGCUGUUAUCCUCGAGUGAGAGGAGGGUCCAGGGACCAUUCAAGAUUCUUCACGUCCUACUCAAACACCAAGUCUUUUCAGCAAUGGGUUGCCUCAUGGCCAGACACAGGUCCAAAGUGCAUACAAGGUCGAUUGGAAGUAGGUAGAGAAUACCUUUGCAUGCUUUGUACAAACCACAUUAUAUUUACUUAAUAUGAUUUUGG